rnacentral:rRNA from 1 species
AGUCGUAACAAGGUUUCCGUAGGUGAACCUGCGGAAGGAUCAUUAAAGAGUAAGGGUGCUCAGCGCCCGACCUCCAACCCUUUGUUGUUAAAACUACCUUGUUGCUUUGGCGGGACCGCUCGGUCUCGAGCCGCUGGGGAUUCGUCCCAGGCGAGCGCCCGCCAGAGUUAAACCAAACUCUUGUUAUUUAACCGGUCGUCUGAGUUAAAAUUUUGAAUAAAUCAAAACUUUCAACAACGGAUCUCUUGGUUCUCGCAUCGAUGAAGAACGCAGCGAAAUGCGAUAAGUAAUGUGAAUUGCAGAAUUCAGUGAAUCAUCGAAUCUUUGAACGCACAUUGCGCCCCUUGGUAUUCCGAGGGGCAUGCCUGUUCGAGCGUCAUUACACCACUCAAGCUAUGCUUGGUAUUGGGUGCCGUCCUUAGUUGGGCGCGCCUUAAAGACCUCGGCGAGGCCUCACCGGCCUUAGGCGUAGUAGAAUUUAUUCGAACGUCUGUCAAAGGAGAGGACUUCUGCCGACUGAAACCUUUAUUUUUCUAGGUUGACCUCGGAUCAGGUAGGGAUACCCGCUGAACUUAAGCAUAUUAAAAGUCG